GUGUCAGCAGCCGCGGUAAUACGUAGGGUGCAAGCGUUGUCCGGAAUCAUUGGGCGUAAAGCGCGCGUAGGCGGCCCGAUAAGUCCGCUGUAAAAGUCAACGGCUCAACUGUUGAAAGCCGGUGGAUACUGUCGGGCUAGAGUACGGAAGAGGCAAGUGGAAUUCCUGGUGUAGCGGUGGAAUGCGCAGAUAUCAGGAGGAACACCUAUAGCGAAGGCAGCUUGCUGGGACGUUACUGACGCUAAGGCGCGAAAGCGUGGGGAGCGAACAGGAUUAGAUACCCUGGUAGUCC
rnacentral:rRNA from 1 species